AAAUUUGAAUCACUAAAGCUGUCACCAAUAAAUGUGUUAUAAGUAUGACAUAACAGGGUUUGGUUUUUUUUUUUGGGGGGGGGGGGGGUAUUAAAGGAAAUAUUUUAAGAAGUUGUAAAACAGUAAAAUAAAUCCAUAUGUCUCUUCUCCUCCAUAAUAAUCCCAUUGAAAAUGUUCUAUGAGUACUGUCUUAUUUUUUUUUAAUAUUUUUUCUGUGUGGUAUAUCUUCAGUCUUUAAAUUGUUUUGUAUUUUGUGACUUCUAUCUAACUUCGACAAAGUUUGGCAUAGGGGCCGUAUAAUAUGUAAAAUGAAAGCUUACAGUAUUGACGGAAACUUAUUGAAUUGGUUUCAGGACUAUCUUCACGACAGAAAACAGAGAGCAGUAAUGCAUAACAGAAAUUUGAAACAAACACGAUAAACGAUUAUAUAAAAUUGAAACGUUUCAUUUGUACGGCCCAAUAACGCAAUUGAGAUGUUCCCAUUCAUUUAUAACAAUGAUCUAUGUAGAGCUAAUAUUAUAAAUGAUCCUUCUUGUCAUUGUGGGUCAGAUAUUGAGGAUGUCUACCAUUACUUCUUUGUUUGUCCAAAAUACACAUCAUGCAGAAAAACCUUAUUCAAUAAUCUUAACUGGCUAUCUGAAAGCAUUGUUUUAG
rnacentral:lncRNA from 1 species